rnacentral:misc_RNA from 1 species
CAACCCUCAAGCUCUGCUUGGUAUUGGGUCAGCCCCUAGGGGCUUUCCUCAAAUUCAGUGGCGGCGUCCAUUGGGCUUCAAGCGUAGUAAUUCUUCUCGCUUCGGAGUUCCGGUGGGAGCUUGCCAGCAACCCCAAACUUUCUAU